rnacentral:rRNA from 1 species
GGGAGAGAUUUGCGUCCUAUUAGCUAGUUGGUGAGGUAAUGGCUCACCAAGGCGACGAUAGGUAGCCGGCCUGAGAGGGUGAACGGCCACAAGGGGACUGAGACACGGCCCUUACUCCUACGGGAGGCAGCAGUGGGGAAUAUUGGACAAUGGACCAAAAGUCUGAUCCAGCAAUUCUGUGUGCUUGAUGAAGGCCUUCGGGUUGUAAGGAGCUUUAAGUAGGGAAGAAGAAAGUGACGGUACCUACAGAAUAAGCGACGGCUAAAUACGUGCCAGCAGCCGCGGUAAUACGUAUGUCGCAAGCGUUAUCCGGAAUUAUUGGGCAUAAAGCGCGUCUAGGCGGUUUAUUAAGUCUGAUGUGAAAAUGCGGGGCUCAACCCCGUAUUGCGUUGGAAACUGGUAGACUAGAGUAUUGGAGAGGUAGGCGGAACUACAAGUGUAGAGGUGAAAUUCGUAGAUAUCUGUAGGAAUGCCAAUUGGGAAGCCAGCUUACUGGACAAAUACUGACGCUGAAGCGCGAAAGCUAGGGGAGCAAACAGGAUUAGAUACCCUGGUAGUCCUAGCUGUAAACGAUGAUCACUGGGUGUGGGGGGUCGAACCUCCGUGCCGAAGUUAAUGCCGUCAUUCCUUUGAUUUCAAC